rnacentral:misc_RNA from 1 species
CAGUCAUGUUUCAGAAAACAAAAUAAAACAAUAUAUGGCAGUGUAUUAUAAUGAACAUUUGUUAUUCUAGAAUUAAUAGGAAAAACAUCUCCAAGACUGAACCUGAAGAAAAUAAGAAUUUGCAUAGGAUAGCUGGUGAGUUGAUACAGGCAUGAUUUGCCAAUUUCCAGACUGCAAUUCACAGUCUCCAUUACAGCAUUUCAUGUUAUCUAGCCAAACUAUUGUUUCACAUUGAACAUAAUAUCCCCUAUUAGAUGCUCUAAUCUCUUUGAUGAAUUGCCAAGUACAUGUAUGACUAAAAGAAAGUGGCUGGAUAGAGGUUCUGAGACGCACAUCUAACUCAAUGUUGACAAAAACCUCUGCUUGCUCUUCAUAUGCACUGCAAAAAUUAAUGCAUAGAGGCAGAAAAAGAAAUUUGCAAUGACUAGAGAGAUUAUCAAAUCAAAGCCAUGAUUAAGUUAUCGUCAACAAUGUAGAUAUUGACUCUUUUCAAGGGUGGUUUUGCAGGCAUGUUGAUUUACUCACACAUAUAGAGCAGAAAAUUGUCAAGUACGAAUAAAACCUUGGCAUACAAGAUGUCUGAGCAGCAUACCCAUAUAUUUUCUUUUGAAGGCCUCUCUCCAAUCAAUACUGGUUCUUCCAUCUGAAUUCUCCAGCAAAAGAGUGAACUCCUUAUUUUCACCCUGCCCUCCAUUCUGCUACAAAGUGCAAUGCUUGGCACCAAAAAAUAUAGUAUAGUGGGAGUGCCACAGCUGGUUAUUACUAGCUGCGAAAUUCCAUGAACCUUGCAUGAGGCAACCAGAAAAGCAUUAAUACCAAGAGAAUAUGUUAUGCAUUAGGACAUACUUACGGCUGUAACUUGUCAUCAGGAGAAAAAAUCAAUUAGGAGAAUGGUCUGACUAGUUUGUGUGAUGCUAAUUUGUUUGUGGUACUGAAGCAGGUAAAAUAGUUGCUACAAUUGAAGAAAAUGACAAUUAACAACUGACUAGGCUGUCAGAAACUAAAGAAUGGAUAUCCAAGAAGCUGAAGAUGUGUACUAGAACAUCCUGUGGCAAUUCAGUCGCAGCAGAAGUUUCUUCCUCCUGAUGAGGUUUACAAAGCCUCUUAUGGGCAACCUUUGAUUGUUUAAAUUCAGUAAAAGCCAAAAUUUUUCUCUGUUUAGGCAAUACCGCCUCUGCGCUCUUGCAUAGAAGAUGGGCUGCUGAAAAAGCGCUGCGUGUCUGUCUGCAUUCUAAAGGGAAACAAAAGAAAUUGGUACUAUUUAAAUUUACCAAAACAGGUGAUUUGGACAACUAUUUUCACUCAAUUAUUACUAACCAAAUACAUCACAUUGGAUUCUGGAACAAGGGGUGAAAAUUCAUGUUCAGCCUUCAUUCCCAAUAUCUAAAUCAUCGGACUUCGAUUCAAAUUCGAAGCAUAAAUUCAAUUAAUUGCGAGGAUCAGGAAUCGUAUUCAACGAAGUCAUCUUUACUACGAAUUGGGUAGACAAAAUUCACAAAGGAUAGCGGUGAAGAUAACAGGUAAAUCACAUGAUAUACAGAGACGAAGGCGACUUACUCAGGAAGGAGACGAAAAGCGGCGAGGGUGUCUUGGAAAACGACUGAUUGAAGAUUCUCAGGGAGUUUGUGAUAAGCUUCUCUGAGAAUCAAGCUGAGAUCUUUGCAGGCAACUGAGUAACGGUGGUUUCUUGACAAAGCUUCCUUAAACGCUAGCUUUUGAUAACUUUCAAUUGAAUUUGACAUAUUCGAACAGCAAUGGAAAGAGGUGAGAAGGGGAAAGGUCACCCUACAGACGUUUUAAUCAAAAUAGCCAUGUUAGUGAAUAAAAUAAAAAAUAAAAAAUAAUUAUAAAAAAACUGAAUUUUCUCAAGAGGGUUG